rnacentral:misc_RNA from 1 species
UCACCGCUUGCGCGGGCAGUCUCAUUAGAGUCCCCAGCAUGACCUGAUGGCAACUAAUGAUAGGGGUUGCGCUCGUUACGGGACUUAACCCAACACCUCACAGCACGAGCUGACGACAGCCAUGCAGCACCUGUGUUCGCGUUCCCUUUCGGGCACACCCACCUCUCAGCAGGCUCCGCGACAUGUCAAGGGUAGGUAAGGUUGUUCGCGUUGCAUCGAAUUAAUCCACAUCAUCCACCGCUUGUGCGGGUCCCCGUCAAUUCCUUUGAGUUUUAACCUUGCGGCCGUACUCCCCAGGCGGUCAACUUCACGCGUUAGCUACGGUACCAAGGAAUCGCUUCCCCAACACCCAGUUGACAUCGUUUAGGGCGUGGACUAC